CGUUGGUGAAUAAACACCUGGUUGACGUACACCUCAUCUCUGCAUCAAGAAUCCUGCUUUAAUUUUGCCGCUACUCACCAUCCAAACACUCACAAAUGUAAUUUGCAAGUGUAAUCUGUGAGUGUUUAUGUUUCAGUGUGGCUGAAUCACUUGCUGAUGCUGCGCUGCUGACAUGCAUGUAUCACUUCAAACACCCGGAGGCCAUCACCAGCUCCAGCGCUGUCUCCGCUAUAUUCCCUCACCAGCUCUGUUGCCAUGAUCUGCAUUUGGAAACUACCAAUUAUAAGAAGCCCACAAUCCCACAACAAUCUUCUCUGGAAAACAGUCAUUUGCAACGCCUGCACCUCCAGGAAAAAUCUACUCCAGCACUCUAAGCUGUGUCCAGGAAUACUGUGAGCCUCCCUUGGAAAAAAAAUAAAAAGCUUUCUCAGUCCAGUUCUUCAUCUUCUGGGAAUGCCAUCCUGACGUUAAUGGCCCAUAAAAAGCAGCUUCAGCAAACUCAGACUGGAUUGAGUGGAGAGAUCAGACGGUCUCUGGACAUUGCAGUGUCAGCAACGGCAAGGCGAGUGCAAGACUUUCAGCACAUCCACCGUUCACACUGUGCUCACCCGAUACCAACAUUAAGAUGAACUUCCUCGUAAAGCUCCUCCCCCACUGAUACACUCAGGAAUAUGACUACAGAUGUUUGCAGUUGCAUAUGCUGUGUAUAAAUGUAUGCAGAGACAGCAAAUGCCUCUGCCCCACCACUGCAACCAUAAAACUGCAAGAUGCCUCAAGAGGAAAAUCAAAAUGCAAAAAUCAAUAGCCGGCUCUUUGUCAUGUUUGCAUUGCAUGCUGCAUUAAUUUUCAUGGAAGGCAGCCAGUUGUGAUGGGAGUGCUUGGCAUGAGGAAAAAUACAAUGAAUAAUACAAUGCAACAGUAUCGAUUGUUUUUUAAAGAACCCCUCAAGCUCGAAAGCAGAAUGAGUUUCUGCCAAUUAAAAGACGUCAUGUUUAUUUGCUCUUGAAAGACGUGUUUGUAGGAGCUCUAGAUAUUUGCAGAUGGGAUUAAGUGACUGUGAGGAAGCGAUUUAGUGGUAUACAGUUGCACAAAUAGGAAAAAAUAGCACGAAGAAUGAACUGGAAUACACUGAGAACAGCAUUUUCCUGCUUCUCUACAGUCUUGGUCUUGAUAUGGUGACUCCCCUUUUAAGAAAAAUGGCAACAUGAAUCUCAGCAAAACUCUAUAAACAUUUGUACGUAUUCAAGUUCAGGUUCAAGUUUAUCAGGUGCAAAGAAAGAAGCUGAGUGAUAUUUUUUAAAGCUACAUAGGUUGGCCAUGUAAGUGAGAGGUUAGGGUGGAUGGAUGGAUCAACAAAAAGGUUGGAAACUGACAGACAGCAUGGGUUUCUUUUAACCAAGACCUUGAACUUAGGCACUGUAUUUUAUCCGUCAUUUAGCAGGUUUGCUUUUCAGUGCGUAGAGCAAAUUAUGUGAGCUUAAUUGCCCAGCAUCAAGUAUGUUUAAUAUUUAAAAGGAAUAGUAUAAAGACAGGAAGGAUGAUAAUAAAACUAUGGUUUGACUAAAUUUGAAAAAUGAACUAAAUUACUCUCAUCUUCUCUCUUCCUCAAGCUAAAUAACAGCCUCUCUGUGCUGCAUCCCUGCUGAAGAGAAGCCUAUAGCUUGUUGUGCUCAUUUGUGUGCUAAUAUUGGUUCGUAAUGCAAAUUAGUCCCCAAACAUUAAAAACCAUCAGUAAAAAAUGGAGCCCUCCAUCCAUCCCCACAGCUCUUUAUCAGUCAGGGAGCACCUGUCCGGACCUGACCUGAUUACUGAAGGAAAGUAGGUCUGAAUUUAACCCUCAUUGUUGUCAGACUACCUAAAAAGGACACCGCUAGAAAUGAGCCCCUCACUCCUCUCUGUACAGCUCAGAUACAGUUAAAAGGGAGCCGUGUGCCGCCCUGCACUUCUGUCUUUGAGAGAUACAGCGUGUCGACAGUUUUGCAAAUUGAUUGGGUAUUUUCUCCGUUCCUCACAGAACUGCUGAAGGACUUGGCUGGAGUCUUUUUCGCAUUGGUUGAAGUACAAGACACAUGUGCAUUUAAGUGUGUCUAAGCUUUUCCCGGCUCUCCAGUGGAUCUUUGUUAAAUCAUCUGUCCGUCCAUGCUGUACUAUGUGACAGCUGAGUACCCGUGUUUUGACAUUAGAAAGACACACUUGACUCACUGUUGUUGAUUUAAACCUCAGAUUUCCUACUUUCACAUACUCUGAUUCUCCUGGUGUUCA